rnacentral:rRNA from 1 species
UAGCUAGUUGGUGAGGUAAAGGCUUACCAAGGAGACGAUCUGUAGCGGGUCUGAGAGGAUGAUCCGCCACACUGGAACUGAGACACGGUCCAGACUCCUACGGGAGGCAGCAGUGGGGAAUUUUGGACAAUGGGGGCAACCCUGAUCCAGCCAUGCCGCGUGAGUGAAGAAGGCCUUCGGGUUGUAAAGCUCUUUCGGCCGGGAAGAAAUCGCAUGGGCCAAUACCCUGUGUGGAUGACGGUACCGGAAUAAGAAGCACCGGCUAACUACGUGCCAGCAGCCGCGGUAAUACGUAGGGUGCGAGCGUUAAUCGGAAUUACUGGGCGUAAAGCGUGCGCAGGCGGUUUUGUAAGACAGGCGUGAAAUCCCCGGGCUUAACCUGGGAACUGCGUUUGUGACUGCAAGGCUAGAGUACGGCAGAGGGGGGUGGAAUUCCACGUGUAGCAGUGAAAUGCGUAGAGAUGUGGAGGAACACCAAUGGCGAAGGCAGCCCCCUGGGUCGAUACUGACGCUCAUGCACGAAAGCGUGGGUAGCAAACAGGAUUAGAUACCCUGGUAGUCCACGCCCUAAACUAUGUCAACUAGGUGUUGGGUGGGUAAAACCAUUUAGUACCGUAGCUAACGCGUGAAGUUGACCGCCUGGGGAGUACGGCCGCAAGGUUAAAACUCAAAGGAAUUGACGGGGACCCGCACAAGCGGUGGAUGAUGUGGAUUAAUUCGAUGCAACGCGAAAAACCUUACCUACCCUUGACAUGCCAGGAACUUGCCAGAGAUGGCUUGGUGCCCGAAAGGGAGCCUGGACACAGGUGCUGCAUGGCUGUCGUCAGCUCGUGUCGUGAGAUGUUGGGUUAAGUCCCGCAACGAGCUCAACCCUUGUCGUUAAUUGCCAUCAUUUAGUUGGGCACUUUAACGAGACUGCCGGUGACAAACCGGAGGAAGGUGGGGAUGACGUCAAGUCCUCAUGGCCCUUAUGGGUAGGGCUUCACACGUCAUACAAUGGUCGGUACAAAGGGUUGCCAAGCCGCGAGGCGGAGCCAAUCCCAGAAAGCCGAUCGUAGUCCGGAUUGCAGGCUGCAACUCGCCUGCAUGAAGUCGGAAUCGCUAGUAAUCGUGGAUCAGCAUGUCACGGUGAAUACGUUCCCGGGUCUUGUACACACCGCCCGUCACACCAUGGGAGCGGGUUCCGCCAGAAGUAGGUAGCCUAACCGCAAGGGGGGCGCUUACCACGGCGGGGUUCGUGACUGGGGUGAAGUCGUAACAAGGUAGCCGUAGGGGAACCUGCGGCUG